AUGGGCUUCCCCAAGGGGCCGGAGGGCCGGGGUCUCCCGGAGGUGGAAACAAGAGAAGAUGAAGAACAAAAUGUCAAGUUGGCUGAAAUUCUGGAGCUUUUAGUUGCAGCUGGGUAUUUCAGGGCAAGAAUCAAGGGCUUGUCACCUUUUGACAAGGUGGUGGGAGGAAUGACUUGGUGCAUCACCACUUGCAACUUUGAUGUGGACGUUGAUUUGCUCUUUCAGGAAAACUCUACAAUAGGUCAAAAAAUAGCUCUAUCAGAGAAAAUUGUCUCAGUCCUGCCAAGGAUGAAGUGUCCACACCAGCUGGAGCCCCACCAGAUCCAGGGGAUGGAUUUUAUUCAUAUAUUCCCAGUUGUUCAGUGGCUGGUGAAGCGAGCCAUAGAAACAAAAGAAGAGAUGGGUGACUAUGUCCGUUCCUACUCCAUAUCCCAGUUCCAGAAAACCUACAGUCUCCCUGAGGACGAUGACUUCAUAAAGAGAAAAGAAAAGGCCGUCAGGACAGUUGUUGACAUUUCUGACGUUUACAAGCCCCUUCGGAAAUACAGACGCCAACGGGGAGCAGAGGAGCUGCUUGAUGAGGAAUCUCGGAUCCAUGCCACGCUUUUGGAAUAUGGCAGGAAAUAUGGAUUUGGCCGCCAGAGCAAAACAGAGAAGGCUGAGGACAAGAAAACAGCGCUUCCUGCAGGGGCCCCGGCUACAGAAAAAGCUGAUGCCCUUGAAGAGAAUGAGCUUCAAGCUGCUGAAGAGCAGCGCAUUGAGUCCCUGAUGACCAAGAUGACUGCCAUGGCCAGCGAGGAGAGCCGGCUCACCGCGAGCUCCGUGGGCCAGAUCGUGGGCCUGUGCUCUGCUGAGAUCAAGCAGAUUGUGUCUGAGUAUGCUGAGAAGCAGUCCGAGCUAUCAGCUGAAGAAAGUCCAGAAAAAUUAGGAGCCUCCCAGCUGCAUCGACGGAAAGUCAUUUCUUUAAAUAAGCAGAUUCUGCAGAAGACCAAGCAUCUGGAAGAGCUGCAGACAAGUCAUACCAACUUACAGGCCAGAUAUAGUGAAACGAAGAAGACGCUGACAGAGUUGAAGAAUUACAGUGAGAAAUUGGACAAAGAGCAAGCAGCCCUCGAGAAAAUAGAAUCCAAAGCUGAUCCAAGUAUCUUGCAGAACUUGAGAGCACUUGUGGCCAUGAAUGAAAAUCUGAAAAGUCAGGAGCAGGACUUUAAAGCACAUUGUCGAGAGGAGAUGACCCGACUGCAGCAGGAAAUUGAAAACCUGAAAGCGGAGAGAGCACCACGCGGAGACGAAAAGGCCCUGUCCAGCGGGGAGCCGGGUGGUGCCCUUGCCUCCAUGAUGUCGCAUGAUGAAGACCUAGACAGACGGUACAAUAUGGAGAAAGAGAAGCUCUACAAAAUUCGUUUGCUACAGGCUCGAAGAAAUCGAGAAAUAGCCAUUUUGCACCGCAAGAUUGAUGAAGUGCCCAGCCGAGCCGAGCUAAUACAGUAUCAGAAGAGGUUUAUUGAGCUCUACCGCCAGAUUUCAGCAGUCCACAAAGAAACCAAGCAGUUCUUCACUCUGUAUAAUACCCUGGAUGACAAAAAGGUUUAUCUGGAAAAAGAGAUCAGCCUGCUGAACUCAAUUCACGAGAACUUCUCGCAAGCCAUGGCCUCUCCUGCUGCCCGGGACCAGUUUUUACGUCAGAUGGAACAGAUCGUAGAAGGAAUUAAGCAAAAUAGAAUGAAGAUGGAAAAGAAGAAGCAAGAGAACAAAAUGAGAAGAGACCAGUUGAAUGACCAGUACUUGGAACUGUUGGAAAAGCAGAGGCUGUACUUCAAGACGGUGAAAGAGUUCAAGGAGGAGGGCCGCAAGAACGAGAUGCUAUUGUCCAAGGUGAAAGCCAAGGCCUGAGAAUUCCCAUCAUCGUAUGUCAUUGAUUUUUUUCCCUUGCCCGUAUAUCAACUACAUCGUGAAAUGGUUCUGAAAGCAACAGUAGAGAGAGAUGCAGGUGUUAUGAUUCAACUCUCGGGAUAUUUCCUUUCUCCUGUGAGCUUCUAUUUCUUCUCUGGUUGGUGGUUGUUGAUGGAAUCAGACAGUGUAACCCUUGUGGCUUGGAUAAGAAACCCAUCAUCACAUGAAGAAACAUAAGCAGUAUUUCUUCCCUGUGUCAAUCCAACUUUGAUUUCUCCAGUAACCCUGCAUAUGUGAAGGUGCCUGUAUUUGUAUGGACUCUGCAAAUAAAGGGGAAUUCAUUGUUCAACAAAUCUUAAUUGAGCAACCACUGAGCAAUAAGUCUUGAGUGAGAUGCAGAGAAGUACAAAGCACAGUCCCUACACCUCAGGCAUCCAGCAAGUGGCCUGUGGAGCAGAUAUAGCCCACCUGACCUCAGAUUUUCCAUGAGAUUUUUUUUUUUUUAAGUAAACAAAAAGCUUUUAGCUGAAUUGAUCAACCCAUGUGAAUGUUAGUCACUUGGGCCCUUCACCCGCCCAAAGUGCCUUUCGUACCUGGCUCCUUGAGGUGCUGGCCCCAGGCUUGGAUGGCGUAGCAACUUGGAAGCUCAUGUCAUUGGUUUAAUCCUUACACACUCCCAAGUUCAUUUACCCCAAAAUUGAAAAUGGGCCUCAUAUUGAGGACAAUGACAUAAGAAUUACACUUGCCCGUGCCGAUUCUCAUUUGGGUCUCAGCCAACAUGUGAAUAAUCUUGUGCAUCCCCCUCAUGGAAAGCAUAUACCGGGUCCUGCUCCCUAGGGCAGGCCCGGGUCUAACCAAGGAGAUGAGACACUCACCCCGUCACGGCACCCCAGAGGAGUGCGUGAUCAGUCCCAGCAUGAAGGACAUUGGGCUGACCCCGCAGGGCAUGGAAGAGGAAGACUUCACAGGGGCUUUGCAGAGAUACAGGGAGACUUCAUGGGGAAGGUAGGGUCUUCACUAGAUCUGAAGGGGGAAUGGGAUUUUAAUAAGCAGACUAGGUGGGAAGGCCAUUUUGGAUAAAUAGAGAAGUCUGUGGUUAAAAACCCAGGAGGGUGUGGGGAGAGGAGUGAAUGGGCCAGUCUGCAGGAAGCAGAGACCAUUCUGGGACCAUAAUUGAGACGGCCUCAAAGGGCCGGGGAGGGGUUGGAAUUUAUCCCCUGGAAAUGAGCAGUCAGACCCAGAACAGACUCCUGCUCCUGCCCUGGCACUUAGGAGUCUGGAAACUUGGUCAUGUUCCAUACAGCCAGUGGGAGCUUCAUGCCCCCUUCUGCAUAAACCGUGCAGAUGUACCUGCCAGCAGGUUUGGCUGUAAAACAUAAAAGCCUACUCACGUCAGGCAUACAGGCAUUCAGUAUAGUCACAGGAACAGUGUGAUCGUUUUUAGUGCUCUAAUGUAUGUGAUUCAGCAGGACUGAUAUGUACAGAUUUAAAAAAAAAAAAAAGAAUGUCUCACGCUGGAUCAACGACAGCCAGUGACAUCUGUGCCAGGCCUGCAAGGUGAGGCCUGGCUGCUCCCGGAGCUGGCGGAAGCAGCAGCACUUUUCCUGGGCCAUGUGCAGCUCAGUUCAGCUGGUAUCUUGGGGAUUUGGAAAGCGUUCAAUGAAGCUGAAGCAAGUAACUGCAAAAGAAAAAGUGGCACUUUGAGGGCAGAGGAAGGAGACAGCACUUUGUAUUGGAAAUUUUUGCAGGUUCAGGGCAACAUCUUUGUUGCCUUAUUGAGAAGACCAUAGGCCUGCCUUGUAGCUAACUCAACUGCUUGAGCAGUCCUCGCUGUGCUGAUGAGCAUCGCCUGAGGAAUACAAAGCAACAAAUAGUUUUCUUUAAGGUGGCAUUGAUUUCAGGCUGCAUUUUUGAAGAGUAUGGUUCAGUUUGAUUUUGAUGUAGGAAAGUGUCAGUAGAUACUGUUUCCCUUUUUGUAAUCCACAAGGCCUAAUACAGACAAAUCUGUUUCCAUUCCAUAGCACUUUGAACUGUGCUUGGUGGCAGCAGAAGCCCUCCGAGUGCCCUUUGUGGAUAAUGAGGACACUAAGUGUGCUUGAGAGUCAGGCCUCAUAGGCUGAGGAGGUGUCCCAAGUGCCCUGAUCCUUUCAGAAGCCAGGGGUUCCUGCCAGCUCCAUAUCUUUCUGUGUGCUAGAAUGUAGUACAGCCGUGUUCUGCUAAACACACAGGCUUUUCUUUCCAGAGUCAAAAUGAAGGGAGAAAACAUCCUUAAGUUGCUUUUUUUUAAAAUGAACCUGUUUUGGGGGAGAAAUGUGCAGUUCAGGAAGAGCCAGCUCCCUCGGGAAGCAACUUGUCCUCCUGCACAGUUAAGAGCGAGGAGCUCGCAACCGGGGCCAACUUCCCAGGACCAGCUGUUCAAUGCCCUGGGAUUCUCAACAGCCCCAGGGUCGGGGGUCCCCUCCCUCCCACAUGCUUCUCAUGGGGUGCAGAUGAGUGGGGCUGCUUUGGUUUAAAAUCACAAUCAGAGUGGCAGUGAGCAGGAUGGCCCAGAGAAGCGCAGGGCAUGUUCCUUUCUCUCCGUGGCCUGGUCCCAGCCUUGUGGACAGCCGGGGUCAGCUGACAUCACUAGACAGAGGUAUGACAUGGUAGAGAGCAGUUGCCAAAGUCACACUUGAGAGUUGUUUUCUUUUUUAACAAAAGGCAAAUUCCAAGUUUGCCAGGCCUAAACUCUUGUGAGAGUCUGAUGGUCGUGCUUUUUAACUUGGUUCUGGUUAGUAGCCCAUAUUCUGUGGAUGACUGGAUCCUGCCACAGUAUCUCCUGAGUCCGUCAGUGGGACCACGAGGCAGAAUAGCUAGCAGAAAUGGGAGUCUUUCCCCAGGCCAGGCUGGGGACCCCUCCCCAAAGAAGACCGUAGUCCUGGUACCUCCUGAAACCUUGAGAACCCUCCAGGCAGCCCUCUUACCAUCUCACAAAGUGUGUUUCCAUGACCUCAGGGCUGUAACAUUGGGGGCCCCUGGUCAUGUCUGGCAGUGACCCAUAAACCUGUGCGCCUGGUUUUCUGUUUUCACGAGAUGCUCUUGUCUUGUCCUCUGUAGGUGACUGAUGAUCAAUUUAAGAGGGACCUCGGCAUUCCGGCUUUAACAGUUAUUUGGCUGAACCUGAGUCCCUGUUGUGAAAUGCAAGUGGUGGGGUUGAUACAUACUUUGAGGAAGAACACUUUUAGGAAGUGUUUUGUGAUUUAUUCAGAGCCAGUGUUGGUCUUCAAGUAAAAGACCUUCUUAGCAGAGGACAGUACAAUGGCAAGCCCAGUAGAAUGGGGUGCGUGCUGCCUGCCCCCGUGGCUGGGGAUUAGCUGGGCUAAGCUCUUACAGAUGAGCUUCAGAAUCCCCCAUGCCCUCUCCCUCCUUUACCCCCAUUCCAGAGCUUUCCUUCUUUCAGCAUAUGGCAAUAGGCUGAGAAGCCCUCAUUACAAAUAUUGUUUUAACAGUCUCCCCUCUUCUUACCAUAAAUGUUUGGGGGGAUUUAGUAGCUGGUCUGGAGCAUAUUUGACCAUGUGGGAAUACUGUACAUCCUCCACAUCAGCUGUGUGGUCAUUCCUCCAACCUGCCACGCUCACUCCUGCCCCAGCUGUUACACUUGCUCUGCCCUCUGAGGCAGGAUCUCGGGCAGUGGCUUUCCCUGACCACCUGAUAAACUUACUGGCCCACUUAGCAUCAUCCUCCAGCCUUGAGCACAUUCUGCCCUUCCCCCUGCUGUCUGUCCUGAAAUCUGUGCGGAAGGUUAGAUUAUUUGAUCUUAGUCCUUUGCAAGGCCUGUUACCUGCUCUCCCUUUGGAAUGCAAGAACAACGAAAGCUGAGACCUUGCCCAUCUUAUUCCCCAGUCUCCCCAGCACCUGGCUCAAAGGAGAUGAUCACAAGGUUCUGGUUGGAUAAAAUCCUUCUCCAAAUUGCAUCUCUGCAUUAGUAAAAUUUAGAAUGAACCUUUCCUCUAACUUACCUGUUUGAGAACAGGUAGAUAAUUCAUUAAGCAGCUUUAGAGGAUCUUGCUCUUAAAGUUUGUAUGUUAUAACUUAAUCUUGAGGGGAUGAAAAAUGUGUCUGGUUUCAAAACUGUCAUAGGAAUUACCUUUUACAGAUGUUUUUUCUCUCUCCAUGUAAGGAAAAAAGAGAAAAGGAAAGCAGUGUAAUGUCGGAGAUUAGAUUGUGAGUAUGUUUUGACUCAAAAUGUAUCAUGAAUCCAAAGAUAACUUUACUGGUGGAAAUGACCUGGCCACACAAAGCAGAGAAAUGGGAGAAGACUUCAGGGAUUGGGGAAGCAGCCAGUGUUGUUGGAAAUGGGAAUUAGUACAAAUUUCGUGGAAGGCAAUUAGACAAUAUUAAUCAAAAGUACAAGUGCACAAACCCUUUCAACCAACAAUGCUACUUCUAAGAAUUUUUCUUGUGUACAAGGGUUUUUAUCACAGCAUUAUUUGUAAUAGCAAAAAGCUGACAACCUCCACCAGUAUAAACAGUUAAAUUAUGGCCAAGGCAUAAAAUGGAAUACUAUGCAUAAAUUUAAAAGAAUGAAGCCACUUAUGUGUACUACCAUGGAAUGAUCCCCAAGAUGCCUGGUUAAGUGGGGAGAAAAGAGGCUCAUGGUGUAUUAGUGUUUGUUUUUAAAACGGAGAAAAGGAUGGAGAAGACUAUGUAUCUGUAUACCUGUACAAAUAUAUAUGUGCAUGUGUGUGCAUGUGUGUAUACAAACACAUGUGCGUGUAUCAUACCUAUCUCCUUGCGUAUGCCUAGAAUAUCUCUGGGAGGAUACACAGAAACCUGAUGGCCUUGGUAGCCUCUGGGAGAGAAGGGUGGGAGGGAGAAUUACAUUUCACUGUAUGGCUUUUCUACCUUUUGAAUUUUGUACCAUGUACAUGUAUUGCUUCUUCAAAAAAAAUAAAUAGUUUUUAAAUUUUAAUUUUGUUUACUUUUUAAAAAAAUAGAACCAAGACAGAAGAUGAUUCUGGUUCAGUAAAUCGGCUUUCCUAAGAAAGAUAAAGCCUUUGAACCAAAAGUGAUUAGACUCUCCUUGUCUUGGGUUCUGGGGAAAAUAGGUUGGUGAGAAAGGGGCUGUCUUCUGGUGGGACAGCUGAGGAGAGGGAGCCAUGAGAGGCUGCUGCUGCUCCAGUUGAGUGAGUGUGUGGGGCUGGUGGGCAGGGCCAACCUCUGGCUUUUGGGGUACAGGAGAUAGGGGUUGUACCUCUGACCCUUCGUCCAAGGGGAGCCAUGCCCAUCUUGCGUGGACAUUUGCUGUGGGUGAUCCUUUCCCAUCCCCAUUUUUGCCAACACAGCUCUAAUUUGUCUGGUGGCUCUGGGGUGGUAGUGUGCUCAGCCCAGGAGAUGAUUCAUCCCAUUUCUGUUUGUCAAGAAUUCAUUUACAGAUGGGUGUUUAACCCAGUUCUGGCUAGUAGGGAAGCCCAUUAGGGCUUCCCGGGAAGACUUUCCUGCUAAUAAUCAGCUAAAGUUGCAGCACAAGAGCCCCUGCCUUCCCUUCCUGUUUGCAAGUUGUCAGAAAGACAGAGUGGAUGGAGCAGCCUCAAGCUUCUUGAGCCAAUGAGAAGAGACAGCCUGACACACUGAGCUUGGCAGAGCAAAAUACAGAAAGAGCCUGGGUCCCUAAAGGUAUGAUGAGCUUCUGUACCAACCUGGGGACCGCUUGUCUCCAGGUUUCCUGUUCCAUGAUGAAAAUAAAUCCCCGUUAACUCACUCAUUCAACCAACAAAUAUUUGGACUCUUACACUGUGUCAAGCCUUAGGGAUACAUAGUGGGGGAAGCAUACAAACAAGAUAAAUAUGUAAACUAUAUUUUAUGUUGCUUCAGCUUGCUGAGAAAAGUAGAGCAAGGAGGAAGGUUGGGAAUGUCUGCUUUGGGUGGAGUGGUUGUAAUUUUAAAUGGAGUAGUUAGGGAAGCCCUCACUGACUGGGGAGGGAGUGCGUCAUGCAGAUAGCUGCGUGAAGAAAAUCCCAGGCAGCAGAAUGGCAAGCAGAAAGGCCCUGAAGCAGGAGGAUACCCAGCAGGUGAGUUCAAGGAAGAUCAAGGGGUGUGGGAAGCCAGUGGAGAGUUAGGGACGUGAUCCAACUUCCUUUUUGCCGGGAUCCCUCCAGCAGCUACGCUGAGCACAGACUGCAGCUGGGGUAAGAGCAAAAGCGGGAGCCCAGUGAAAAGACCACUGUGAUGAGCCAGAUGGAAAUAUAACCGAAAUGAAGGUUUCACAAGGUGGUGCUUAGCCUUUCUGUAGGUGACACACUCGGAUUUUUUUCAUUUUCUAUUUGAUUUUGUUUUUAAUGCUGGGCAUUAAAUUACUGGUUUCUAUUCUUCAUUCCUCUGUAGUAGGUAGACAUCUUUGUCAAAGCACCAUGGUGGGUGGAGUGUACUUCCCCAUCCCUUGACUUAGGGCUUCUGCUUGGCCACCAUGAUCAUAGCAGAUGUGACAUGAGCCAAGGUUUGAAAAUGGCCUGUGUGGCUGAGCUCACCCUCUUGCAGUCCUGUCUUAAGAAGAACAUACCUUGCUGGUCCAAGGAGGAUGAGGACACACAGAGCAGACGUAGACCAAACCUGCAGCUUGAAGACAAGCCCAGAUGAUCCCUGGAGCUUACAGACUCCCUCUGGACUACCCUGCAUUAGUGUGGAGGGGUCAGGUGAGGGGCCAGAGGAGUGGGCUUCUAGGGGUGGCACCUACCUUUGGAACAGGUUAGCAACAUUGGUCAGAAUCCACAUUCCCUUCCACUUGGCACUGCUUCUCAGACACACCACCAAGAAAUAUGGAGGCCAUAUUAAAGGGGAGAAAAGGAGCAGACUUUGUAUAUUAAACAUGACAAUGUACAAGGUUAAACUAUUAGGUCAUCCACAUGCAUCCUGCAGGCCUUGGAUUUUGCAGAAUUAGAGUCUGACUGUAAGACACCUUAGUGAUACCUUAGUAAAUAAAUGCAGACAAGGAAGAGGUGUUUUCCUCCUAUGCUCCCCUCUCCCACCUUGGUCAUAUUCUGUAGGCACAGGGAUUUGAGGCAGAGCAGAGUCAUUGUACUUGCCAAGGAAGUUCCUGGGAAGUUUGUUGUAAAUCAGAUAUUUUUUUGUCAACAGCCUUCUAUUUCUGAUACUCUGUAUUAAAAGUAAUCACAAGUGCAUCCUUGCAUAAAUCAAUGAUUAACUGAUCCAUUUCAGAAAUUCAGCAUUUCACGAUUAUAUUGAGUGGUCGGGGAAGGUCUCACUAACUGAAGAAAAGGUUCAAGCCUGAAAGGUCCAGUGAAAGUUGCCACCAAAUUAGCAAGCAGUCAGCUUCCUUUGAAGGAGGACUCUUAAGAAGGGGAAAAAUCUCCAGCAGACCCAAGCUCGAACUGUGGUCCUUAAAAUACAAGUGAUGGAUGACUGAGAAAGCCAUUUGAUGGAUAAGUAUAUCACCUUGUUCCGCUUCCUCCAGAUUGUCAGUCAUCUCCUUAUUUUAUUCCUUUCCCUUUGUUCCUGCCUCUAGCAGCAAAGAAAUGAUUGGGCCACUCGUUCUUCCCAUACUCCCUUCAGAGUCUCUCUUCUCAACAGAGCCUCAGUCAGAGAUAAGACCGUGGAUUUAAGGUUAUACAGGUCCACAAUCCCUUAUCAACAGUUGAGAAAAUACAAAAAGUUCUGGAAACUGAAAAGUAAUAGUAACUCAACUGACAGCAAAAUCUGAUGUGACCCAAACCCAUUUGGUGGCUGAUGUGAGGCUAUUUUUAGUCCUCUUCUCAUCACAUCAGUAUUCAUACAUUUUACUGCAGAAAUAUCCAUGUGUUUGAUUACAAGGUGCUGCCCCAGCCCCACCUGGGGGGUAUUAGAUAAUUUAGGGACUGUGUGCCAUAUGGCCUUCCUAUAACCUAAAAUAAUUCUGAAUUCCAAAACCCACUGGUUCCAAAGAUUUUGGAAAUGGCACUGUGGACCUGUGUUCUCUGACAUGCCCCAAAGUACAAGUACUCUACUCUAUAGUGUAAGCUUUAGGAAUAUCUGUAUACUUCAGAGAUCAAAUGAACAGAAGGCAGAGUAGAACCUUUUGUGUAAAUUAAGAGGCCUAAUCACUAGGCAGCCAGCCUCCUCCAUAAUCAGGUGGGCUGUGGCUACCAUGACUUAGUCCAGGUAUCUCCCUAGCACACCCUUGGAUUCUCACAUACUUGAGCCAAAUUUUAUAUUUUCUGGAAGUCCAAGAAUUACUGUGGUGGUUUUUUGAGUUUUCAUCGUUGUUUGGGUUUGAACCCCACAACAGGCAUUUUCCCCAUCCCAGUGCCAUGUAUAUAUGAAUGAAUGAUUCUGAGCCAAGAAAUAAGUGAUUGAAAAGUAUUUUAUUAUACAUAAGAGUUAGUGAUGAUGAAAUAGGAAAGUUUCUCACAGCUGCCAUCCCCUAUGGAAUGAAAGCAGAGAAAAUACCUCACCCGUGAUUCUCAACUGUGGCUGCACCUUGGACUCACCUGGGAGCUGUAAAAAGCACCUCUGCAAGGUCUCCCCUCCAGAAUCCCAAUUUAAUUGGGCCAAAGAGCAACCUAAGCAUCCAGCAAUGUCUCUCAUUGAUAAAAUGUCAUCUAGAUCCAGUGAAAUUAAUGAUCUAUGGAUCAUCAGACCUCUCCUUUGAAAGUCUGGUUCAGUGAGUCUGGAAUAGCCUAGGACUUUAAAAAUAAAUAAGUAAACUGUAGGUGAUCCUCUUCUCACAAAUGUGGGAUACACCGCCUUUGAGGUAGGGGGUGAUAGGCUGAGUGGGCCUCAAAACAAGCCACCAGGAUGCUGUGCCGAGAGACCUCUGAGAGAGAGUGUUAGACUAAAGAAAAGGCAGGUUGAUGGUGCAUUUUGCCAUCUAACCACUCAGCAGUAAUUGCCUGAAGUGCUGUCCUGAAAAGGAUUCUGAGGUGGAGUUCCUGCUCAAUGGGGAAAUGGGGCACAACUGACAAGCAGUGUCUCCCACAUGCAGCAAGAGAGCACAGGUGCACGCUGGCUGUUCUUGUGAGAUCUGGCAGUGCUGCUCCUCCCGUCCAGGCCCUCUGUGGUCUCAAAACACCAGCAGUCCUCAGCUGGAGGAUGGAGGCUCCCAGAUCACAAGUAAAGGGGAAAAUACAAGUUUCUUCCCUGCAAACCUUCAUGUCUCUCCAAGCCCUGCAUUUACCUCUGUUUGGUGAAGAGGCUCUUGAAGGCAUUGUUGUAGUUCUUGUUAAAAGCUGUGUAAAUCAGGGGAUUGAAGAAAGAAUUGGAGUAGCCGAGCCACAGGAAUAUGCUUUUCCAAAUGGGGGGCAGGGUGCAGGCACAGAGGGGGCUGAUGAGCUCUGUGAGGAAGAAGGGGAUCCAGCACAGCACAAACACGCCAAUCAGAAUCCCCACCAUCACGGCUGCUCGCUUCUCCUUCUGCUCCCGCCACGAGUCGCCACUCUCCUGAAAAGCCACCGUUGCACGGCGACGGGAUGUGAACACCAUCUCAACCUCAGGGGGCGUCUCCUCCGUCUUGGAAUAAAGGAAACAUGGAAUUAAAAAAAAGCAAAACAAAACAUAAUCAUCAUAUGUUUAAAGCCACAUGAGGCUAUGCCAGUCUUGCCCAACACCUCUCCUCCAGCCUCAUUCAAGAGGCAUUUAUUGCACAAUCCAUCAGAAAAUACUAGGUGAAAAAGUAACUGAAACUGUAAAAUUAAGUGUGAAGAUUCUUCAGGGAGUGCAAGUUAUAGGCUGCACGAUUUCAAUUAAUAUGGUAUGAGGGUUAGGUUCAUGUGUCAACUUAGCAAGAGUAUGAUGUCCAGUUAUUUGGUCAAACAUGCUCUGGCCUGAUUGUUACUGUGAAGGUAUUUUGUGGAUUUCACAAUUAUUAGUUGACUGCAUCCAUGGCUGAUUACAUCUAUAAUCAACGAGAGAUUGCCUUUAGCAAUGAGGGUAAGGCAUUCCUUUCAUUCAAUCAUCCAAACAGUUGGAGGCUUUAAAGGGAGAACUGAGGAUUUCAGCACUCAGAAUUUUUCUCUGUACUUCUGGGCAGUUCAUUGUCACCAUCAGAGUUCCCAACUUGCGGCUUCUCCUGGGGUAUUCAAUGUCACCAUUGAGUUUCCAACUUGGUUCUCUAACCUGAUUAGAUUAAAAGGUUCUAAUGAUGCUAUUUCCAAUGAUCAAGAUGGCACUGACAGAGGUGUUCAUCAACAUGGUGAUAUAAGACAUCCCCUGGAAAUCUCCCCUCAGAAACAGCUAAUCAAAGGACAGUCCCAAUUGCAUGGAUUUCUGGAGGAAGAUACAGACUGGAGGAGGACUCCACAAAUGCUGAAUCAAAGGAAAAGGGGUUGGGUAGGUGAUCUAUAAUCCAGACCUGCCAGUCCAGACCCAUCCCAUCAUUCAGUCCCGUGCAGCUUAAGAGUCACACAGUGGCAGCACAUCCCGGGUAUCUCCUGCCGUGGACGCAGACCGCAGAGCCACUCAUAGCAGUGAGUUAGAAUUUCACACAUAACCAGGCACAGGGACUAAAGCCACAGAGACCCAGGGCAGAACCCAAGAGGCUGGUGAGUAUUUGCAUACAGAAGGGCCCCAGGAAACAAAAGAAACUGCAACAGACCUGAUGGCAAGAGAGGUGAAUACACCAACCCGAUUUCUGAUUGCUGGAUCACCUAAGCAAAAAACAGACCAUUGGGAACACUGAACCUAUCUGGCUUGCUAGGGCAGGAUACCUAGGAAGUUACCAGGAGCAGAAAAGCCUCACGGGAAAAAUAAAGGGAAAACUGAACUGCUGUAAGAAAGGACAGGUCCCGGAAAUGAGAAGUAUAAUGAAAAGGGGGCACUGAAUGAGAGAGAGAAGUUAAACAAAUCCUAGAAGCUGGGGAGAAAAUUCUGCAUAAAAACAAAAGAAAUCAGGAUUCCCAGAGAAAGAACAGAGGAAAGGAAGCUCUCUCCUGGAGGUAAAAUAAUUGCAGAUAAAAAGGCAGUCUUAGCGGCACCUGACAGAUUGAAGGUAGCCAGGUGGUGCUGAGCAGCAGGGGCAGCUGCCAGCCAAGGAGAAUCAGUGCGCUAUCCAGGUCAAGUAAGAGCUUAAUCACUGUGCCCACCUGCAGAAGCUCACCAUAGAAGAAGUCCACCAUGGAGGAGUUCACCCAUAACU